rnacentral:rRNA from 1 species
CCUACGGGUGGCAGCAGUGGGGAAUAUUGCGCAAUGGGCGAAAGCCUGACGCAGCGACGCCGCGUGAGGGAUGAAGGUCUUCGGAUCGUAAACCUCUGUCAGCAGGGAAGAACGGUCACUGUGCUAAUCAGCAGUGAAUUGACGGUACCUGCAAAGGAAGCACCGGCUAACUACGUGCCAGCAGCCGCGGUAAUACGGAGGGUGCGAGCGUUAAUCGGAAUUACUGGGCGUAAAGCGCUCGUAGGCGGGAUGGCAAGUCAAGGGUGAAAGCCCCGCGCUCAACGUGGGAACUGCCUUUGAAACUGGGAAACUGGAGUGUGUGAGAGGAUAGUGGAAUUCCAGGUGUAGGAGUGAAAUCCGUAGAUAUCUGGAGGAACAUCAGUGGCGAAGGCGACUAUCUGGCCCAUAACUGACGCUGAGGAGCGAAAGCGUGGGUAGCAAACAGGAUUAGAUACCCUGGUAGUC